UACAGAGGUCUCAAGCGUUGUUCGGAUUCAUUGGGCGUAAAGGGUGCGUAGGUGGCGCGGUAAGUCGGGUGUGAAAAUUUCCGGAGCUUAACUCCGAAACUGCAUUCGAUAACUGCCGUGCUUGAGGACUGGAGAGGAGACUGGAAUUUACGGUGAGCAGUGAAAUGCGUAGAUAUCGUAAGGAAGACCAGUGGCGAAGGCGGGUCUCGUGGA
rnacentral:rRNA from 1 species